AGUAAUAUACUAAUAUUGAUCGCAAUUGAUGUGCACGACUGUGAUCUUUAGGACAACAAUUAUGAAGUUGCAAGAAGUUUAGGUAAAUAAUGUAGUACACACGUGGGAUUUAUGCCUCACAUUUUUAAGUUUCAUUUUGAGUUAAAUGCACUUGGGUAAAAAAAAAAGAAUUUCCCGAGACUAGAGUGCACCUCAGCCUUUUCUUAAAAGAAAAAAAAUGAGAGGAGGAUUUUGUGCCUCCACUAGUCCACUGGCACCGGUGGGCUGGCCCAUUUGUGCAUGAAUGGCUCGGGUCAACGAACUCGAGGGCUCAUGAAGCCGAGUGGGCCUUCUUUCAUCUCCC
rnacentral:lncRNA from 1 species